UUUCCGUAGGUGAACCUGCGGAAGGAUCAUUAUUGCAUAACAGAGGUGCGAGGGCUGUCGCUGACCCGAAAGGUCGUGCACGCCCGAGUGCCCUCACACACAUCCAUCUCACCCCUAUGUGCACCACCGCGUGGGUCCCCCUUUGGCUUGUUCGGAGGGGGGCUUACGUUUUCACACAAACUUUGUAUGCAGUGUAGAAUGUAUUUUUUGUUUUUGCGAUCACGCAAUCAAUACAACUUUCAACAACGGAUCUCUUGGCUCUC
rnacentral:misc_RNA from 1 species